UCCCUGGUGGUCUAGCGGCUAAGGAUCCUGCACUCUCACUACAGCGGCCCGGGUCUGAAUCCUAAGCAGGGAA